CAAGACUAUAUACAGUUUCACAUAACUGCUCACCUUCUUUCCUUCAGCAGUGUACUGUGAUGAUUUUAGGUCCAAAGGCUUGAAAGAAAAUGCACCGGGACGAUCUUCAAUUGAGGGAGGUUCAAGCCUAGUAUUAUUGUUGUUAUUGGUGUCACCAAGCAUGAGUAACUUCCCCGUGGUUGGCGAGGACUGGCCCUGAAUCACAGCAUUAGAAAACAUUCAGUCUGAAGCUGGAGAAAAUCACAACUAUGGAAAUUUAAACACAAUGCAUACCAUGGCAUUGGAGAGGAACACGGGCGAUUCCAGCAGCGACGCCGGGCUGAGGCCGGGCGGGAUGGUCAGGUAAGGCGACUGGGCUCCUGAAUAUUCGCUGCCAGGCAUGCUGAGCUUGGCGACGCUGAACCCAGCUCUGGCCUGCAUCCGCUCGGAGAGGCUGCUGCUGGAGCUGGACCUCUGGCCGAAGUGCGGCGUCGCCGGCUUCCCUUCCUCCUGAGGCGAGCCCACGGCCACCGACAGGCCGUGCCUCUCGAACCCGGCCCCCUCGGAGCCGUCGUUGCCGCCGUCGCAGUCCUCCACCAGGGGGUCCGCGGGGAACGGGUCGGUGAGGAAGCUCGGCAGCAUGCUGCAGUCUGCCCCUGGGCUCUGGUCCUUCCACUCCACGGCUAGGUGGGUGUGGCCGUCCAUCUCAGGAUGGAACCUGCAUUCACAGAGGAGAGCCAAGCAACAUCAUGCAAAGCGCAUUCGGUGGUAAACAAAAUUCAGUAAAGACAGAAGGGCAGAAACAACAUCAACGACAAGAACAGAGAAAAGGAGCCAACGGAUGUGAUGUAGCUUCUUGGUCUCACACAAAUCUUUGGCUCAAAACACCAAAAGGAUCAAGAAUUGGCUUCGAGUUGCAAAAACAAGACGAUCUUAUCGAGCAGAAAGCUGAUUCUCCAAAACUGAAAGCAUGUCCAUGCCCCCGGGUAAACGACAGCCCGUAUAACAUCAAAAGGUUAGGUUGAUGCGACCGGCACAGUCAUCCACAAAGAAGUUGAAUGUACUACCGGAAAAGGAGCCGAAAAUAAAAGGUGGGGAGCGGCUGCUCCAUCUUAUUCACUCCAAGAACAGCAAAGGAAGAGGCCAUGGACCCCUCAACGCAACAGCGUGCUGAUUCGAGGCUCGGAGCUCGAGGCGCAUGACAACAGGGAACAACUUUUUCUCCUAAAGCCCUUCAAAAUUGCUCCAAGAACGAACUUUGGCGGAGAUGGUGAAGAAUGUUUUUGAUAAAAGAUAUAGGAGGGCUGGGAUCGUCACUUUUGAGCCAAACAUCGUAAGUACCACGAUAAAAAAGGUUGCUUCUUUGAUUCCAAUCGUCUGCGGGAUGGGGAAAUGGAGGAUCGUUCAUCUUGCGAGCUGGAGGAACCAAACCAAACCAGAGAUAAAAAAGGAGAAGACAGACAUUCAAAUCAAACUUUUCCUCCACAUGUCAAUCGGCGAGGAAUUUACGCCUAUUUUUGAAAAACGGGGCGGAUAAGGCAAGUGAAAUUUAAACAAAAUUGGAUCAGAAACAACACGCAUUACGCAGAGAAAGAAAAAUCCAACGAAGCCACAGUUUAAAACAAAACACAACUUUUAAGGCGCAUUUCGACAACCCCAAACUCUGAUUUAUUUUCAAGGAAGGGAAUCAAAACAUGACAUCAGAAUGAUAGGAUCUUGUUUGUUUACAGAAGAAAUUCGAAUC